rnacentral:rRNA from 1 species
CCCUUAGAUGUUCUGGGCCGCACGCGAGUUACACUGAUGCAGCCAACGAGUUUAUUGCUUUCCCGAUGGGGCUGGCUAAUCUUUUCAAACUGCAUCGUGAUGGGGAUUGGCGGUUGUAAUUGUCCGCCAUGAACGAGGAAUUCCUAGUAGCUGUCUUUCAUCAAAAAGCAGCGAUUACGUCCCUGCCCCUUGUACACACCGCCCGUCGCUCCUACCGAUUGAGCGUUUCGGUGAGGUCUCGGGAUUUCGUAGUUUUCACGGCAACGUGGGGCUAUGAGAGAACUUGAUCGAACCUCAGCGUUUAGAGGAAGGAGAAGUCGUANCA